AACGUAGGACGCAAGCGUUAUCCGGAAUUACUGGGCGUAAAGCGCGUGUAGGUGGUUUGAUAAGUCACUGUUGAAAGCUCCCGGCUAAACUGGGAGAGGUGCGGUGAGACUGUCAGGCUAGAGUAUGGGAGAGGGAUGCAGAAUUCCGGGUGUAGUGGUGAAAUGCGUAGAGAUCCGGAGGAAUACCAGAGGCGAAGGCGGCAUCCUGGCCUGUUACUGACACUGAGACGCGAAAGCAUGGGGAGCGAACGGG
rnacentral:rRNA from 1 species